GCCAAGGUGGUAUAGUGGUUUGAGUGUUGGACUAUGACUCUGGAGACCAGGGUUCGGUUCCCAGCUCAGCCA
rnacentral:tRNA from 1 species